UAACUGGGCAGGCUGGACUGCCACCUCCGCCUUCUCACCUGUAAACUGGAGGCCGCCACACCAGCUCUGCCCUCAAGCACGCAAUGUACCAAAAUCCAACUACAGCCCACGAACAGGACUGUGCUUUGUAAACUGAGACAUGCCGAAUCGCUCAGAGCCCGUGAAGGUCAUCACUGACAGACACCUAGUCUCCAGCAAGCUCAGGAGGAAAGGAGGCGACCAAGGGCUGGGGAAGCACAAGAGCCGAUUAACAGAGGAAGGAGGAGUUGGCCUCAUGGUUAUGGAGACUGAGAAGCCCCUUGAUCUGCAGUCCCCAAGCCAAAGACCCAGGAAAGAGCAGACGGCACCAGCCCCAGUCGGGAGUCCGAAGGCAGGAGGAAACCGAAGUCUCAGUUCCGAGGCAGGCGGAGAGCUGGUUCUCCCUUCCACCACCUUUUCGUUCUGUUCAGGCCUCACGUUCACCCACCCUGGGUAGAGCGAUCCUGGGUAGAGCUUUACUCGGUCUCCCGUUCAAACGUCAAUCACACCCAGAGCUACCUCUCAGGCGCAUUCCAUAAUGACACUGAGCCAAACAUCCCGGCACCCCGUGGCCCCAGUCAAGUUGACAUAAAAUUAACCAUCAUGAUCCCCCACCCCUUUCCCACUCACAUACCCUCCUCCCCCUAGAAUCCUCCAGAAACAGGGUUUCACCAACCAUGAGAAGUUCAGGUGACCUGAACAUCUCAGGUUCCGUACUGAUUUAAAGUCGAUUUGGGGGGAGCAAGCCUUCCUCCCUACGGAUCUAUGUUCUCCCCACAAAAACUAUUGUAUUCCCUUACCUUAUAUCUGUGGUGCAAAGGAAUCACUUUAGAAUCCACACCCGCUCUGUGACCUUGGGCAAGGGACAUGUCCCCUCUUAGAACAGUUUCUGGUCUUUCAGGGCUUCUGUGACAAUUUAAUGAGUUAGCAUAGUUUGGCACAUGACAAGUAUAGAGAAGG